GCCUGGAUAGCUCAGUCGGCUAGAGCACGUCCUUGGUAAGGACGAGGUCGCCGGUUCGAUUCCGGCUCCAGGCU
rnacentral:tRNA from 1 species